UUGACCUCAAAUCAGGUAGGACUACCCGCUGAACUUAAGCAUAUCAAUAAGCGGAGGAAAAGAAACUAACAAGGAUUCCCCUAGUAACUGCGAGUGAAGAGGGAAAAGCUCAAAUUUAAAAUCUGGCAGCUUCGCUGUCCGAGUUGU
rnacentral:rRNA from 1 species